GCGGGUUGUGCACUUGUGGUGGCCUCUACUUCUUUGCAAAGCCAUUGCCAUGGGUUGAACCCUACCACACACACAAGUNUAAGUNCGUUAUCACUCGCCUUGGGUNAUACUGGAAGNACCCAAGACUAGGACCUCCUACUACUCUCACCACAUGACUAAUUCUUCUCUAAGUGAGAUUGAAAGAGUCAUUAGAGUGUUAGAAUAACCCCCAAGACUGAGCUUCCUAUAUUCACUCUAAACAUUACAAGGAUCUCACCUAGAGAUCUUACAUUUAAACCACCACCAACAAUCUUAAAAUCAUGUUUCAUUCCUUCUCAAGUCAUAUAUUUUCAAACCAUACAAUUCCAAUAUAUAACAUACAUGUAUAAUAGCUAAAAGUUU
rnacentral:lncRNA from 1 species